AGAGUUUGAUCCUGGCUCAGGAUGAACGCUGGCGGCGUGCCUAAUACAUGCAAGUCGAGCGAACGGACGAGAAGCUUGCUUCUCUGAUGUUAGCGGCGGACGGGUGAGUAACACGUGGAUAACCUACCUAUAAGACUGGGAUAACUUCGGGAAACCGGAGCUAAUACCGGAUAAUAUUUUGAACCGCAUGGUUCAAAAGUGAAAGACGGUCUUGCUGUCACUUAUAGAUGGAUCCGCGCUGCAUUAGCUAGUUGGUAAGGUAACGGCUUACCAAGGCAACGAUGCAUAGCCGACCUGAGAGGGUGAUCGGCCACACUGGAACUGAGACACGGUCCAGACUCCUACGGGAGGCAGCAGUAGGGAAUCUUCCGCAAUGGGCGAAAGCCUGACGGAGCAACGCCGCGUGAGUGAUGAAGGUCUUCGGAUCGUAAAACUCUGUUAUUAGGGAAGAACAUAUGUGUAAGUAACUGUGCACAUCUUGACGGUACCUAAUCAGAAAGCCACGGCUAACUACGUGCCAGCAGCCGCGGUAAUACGUAGGUGGCAAGCGUUAUCCGGAAUUAUUGGGCGUAAAGCGCGCGUAGGCGGUUUUUUAAGUCUGAUGUGAAAGCCCACAGCUCAACCGUGGAGGGUCAUUGGAAACUGGAAAACUUGAGUGCAGAAGAGGAAAGUGGAAUUCCAUGUGUAGCGGUGAAAUGCGCAGAGAUAUGGAGGAACACCAGUGGCGAAGGCGACUUUCUGGUCUGUAACUGACGCUGAUGUGCGAAAGCGUGGGGAUCAAACAGGAUUAGAUACCCUGGUAGUCCACGCCGUAAACGAUGAGUGCUAAGUGUUAGGGGGUUUCCGCCCCUUAGUGCUGCAGCUAACGCAUUAAGCACUCCGCCUGGGGAGUACGACCGCAAGGUUGAAACUCAAAGGAAUUGACGGGGACCCGCACAAGCGGUGGAGCAUGUGGUUUAAUUCGAAGCAACGCGAAGAACCUUACCAAAUCUUGACAUCCUUUGACAACUCUAGAGAUAGAGCCUUCCUCUUCGGGGGACAAAGUGACAGGUGGUGCAUGGUUGUCGUCAGCUCGUGUCGUGAGAUGUUGGGUUAAGUCCCGCAACGAGCGCAACCCUUAAGCUUAGUUGCCAUCAUUAAGUUGGGCACUCUAAGUUGACUGCCGGUGACAAACCGGAGGAAGGUGGGGAUGACGUCAAAUCAUCAUGCCCCUUAUGAUUUGGGCUACACACGUGCUACAAUGGACAAUACAAAGGGCAGCGAAACCGCGAGGUCAAGCAAAUCCCAUAAAGUUGUUCUCAGUUCGGAUUGUAGUCUGCAACUCGACUACAUGAAGCUGGAAUCGCUAGUAAUCGUAGAUCAGCAUGCUACGGUGAAUACGUUCCCGGGUCUUGUACACACCGCCCGUCACACCACGAGAGUUUGUAACACCCGAAGCCGGUGGAGUAACCUUUUAGGAGCUAGCCGUCGAAGGUGGGACAAAUGAUUGGGGUGAAGUCGUAACAAGGUAGCCGUAUCGGAAGGUGCGGCUGGAUCACCU
rnacentral:rRNA from 1 species